rnacentral:rRNA from 1 species
UUUUUUAAAGAAAAGGUUAGGUUUUCCCCUCCAGGGGUAUUUGGGAACCAUGGGAAUGGAAAUAUUAGGCCGGUUUUGAAAACAAUAAGGAAAUAAGGUGUUUAAAUUGAUAAUUCGCAAAAAACCUUACCCCAACYUGAAUAAUUAUGUUUAAUUUUUUAUAAAAAAAGAUAUAUUUACAAGCGUUGCACGGCUGUCUUCAGUUAAUGUCGUGAGAUUUUGGUUAGUUCCAUUAAAUUAACGUAAACCCUUGCUUUAUUUUUAUAUAAAGUAGUUCCCCGCUAGAUUGGAUAUGAUAACAGGGACUAAGACAAGUCAUCAUGGCCUAAAUAUUGUGGGCUAUAGACGUGCCACAUAAACCUUACAAAAGGAUGUGAAAUUGUGAAAUAAG